GCCUGGGUAGCUCAGCAGGAAGAGCAGCUGAUUUGUAAUCAGCGGGUCGGGAGUUCGAGUCUCUCCGCAGGCG
rnacentral:tRNA from 1 species